CCUGCCCCUAGAAGCAUUGCAGCACCUCUGUCACAUGUGUCAGAGGUGGCAGAGAAGAAGUAAUGUCUAUGUCCAAUUUUCUGACUUAGGAAUAUCUGAAUGAUUAGUAACCUAAUAUU
ensembl:snoRNA LOC120099508 small nucleolar RNA SNORA17